rnacentral:misc_RNA from 1 species
CUAACCCUCAAGCUCGGCUUGUGUGUUGGGCCUCGUCCCCCUCGGGGACGGGCCUGAAAGGCAGCGGCGGCGUCGCGUCCGGUCCUCGAGCGUAUGGGGCUCUGUCACCCGCUCAGGAGGCCGGCCGGGGCUCGCCAUCAACCCACAUCAUAACAA